rnacentral:rRNA from 1 species
UACGUAGGUCCCGAGCGUUGUCCGGAUUUAUUGGGCGUAAAGCGAGCGCAGGUGGUUUAUUAAGUCUGGUGUAAAAGGCAGUGGCUCAACCAUUGUAUGCAUUGGAAACUGGUAGACUUGAGUGCAGGAGAGGAGAGUGGAAUUCCAUGUGUAGCGGUGAAAUGCGUAGAUAUAUGGAGGAACACCGGUGGCGAAAGCGGCUCUCUGGCCUGUAACUGACACCGAGGCUUGAAAGCGUGGGGAGCAAACAGG